rnacentral:rRNA from 1 species
GCUAAGAAUAUUCCGCAAUGGGCGAAAGCCUGACGGAGCGACGCCGCGUGGAUGAAGAAGGCCGAAAGGUUGUAAAAUCCUUUUGCUGGGGAAGAAUAAGGUUGGGAGGAAAUGCCCGAUCGAUGACAUGAACCGGUGAAUAAGCCCCGGCUAACUACGUGCCAGCAGCCGCGGUAACACGUAGGGGGCGAGCGUUGUUCGGAAUUAUUGGGCGUAAAGGGCAUGUAGGCGGUUGGGAAAGCCCGACGUGAAAUCCUGCAGCUUAACUGUAGAAUUGCGUUGGGAACUAUCCGACUAGAAUCGUGGAGGGGGAGCUAGAAUUCCAGGUGUAGGGGUGAAAUCUGUAGAUAUCUGGAAGAAUACCGGUGGCGAAGGCGAGCUCCUGGCCAAUGAUUGACGCUGAGGUGCGAAAGCGUGGGGAGCAAACAGGAUUAGAAACCCUUGUAGUCC